UCCCCCCAUCUCUCUCUCUCCAUCUCUCUGUCUCUCUCUCUCCAUCUCUCUGUCUCUCUCUCCAUCUCUCUGUCUCUCUCCCCAUUUCUCUCUCUCCUGUCUGCAUCCCUAUCUCGCUUUCUCCCAGGCUUCACCAACUCGCUGUACCACCAUCGCCAUCCCAUCAUCCCUCCGCUCAGCUUUUUUGACUGCACCCACGGACGCGGCGCCGAUGUUCGUUGUUGUCGAGGUUAUUAGCCGUGGUUUUUAAACAGAGUCGUGAUAGUCUACGAAACGAGUAAGCGUGCCAUUAACGCUGUGUUGUAUUUUUUAAUAGUAACCCGAACCCGCUUUCCCUUGUGAUCAUCCUUCCACAAGCACGCCAGCGAGUCCUCGUUCAGCGCGCCAUAGAGUGGUACUAGAUACUCCCCUGAGAAGUUGCAUUUUCUUUGGGCUAGAUCGCUUAAAUGUGAAUGUUGUGUCGGCACGGCCAAUUAGUCAGGGGUUUAUCACGUAAGCAAAACACGUGCCAAUUAGUUACUAGUUCAGCAGUCACCGUCGCUGUGUGUUGGAGAAUGAACCCACGACAACAUUUACACAUUCGAGUAGCCGUGACGUUUCGCCGGUAAUUACAACAACAACCGGCAGCCUCAUCAUCAGGCGGCAGCCACGGAGUUGUGGAGAAAUCCUCCUCCUGAUUUGGUCUAAAAUAGACGGGAUACAUGUGAUGUCAUCGCUUGUGACGGGAUACAUGUGAUGUCAUCGCUUGUGACGGGAUACAUGUGAUGUCAUCGCUUGCGACGGGAUACAUGUGAUGUCAUCGCUUGCGACGGGAUACAUGUGAUGUCAUCGCUUGUGACGGGAUACAUGUGAUGUCAUCGCUUGUGACGGGAUACAUGUGAUGUCAUCGCUUGUGACGGGAUACAUGUGAUGUCACCGCUUGUGACGGGAUACAUGUGAUGUCAUCGCUUGUGACGGGAUACAUGUGAUGUCAUCGCUUGCGACGGGAUACAUGUGAUGUCAUCGCUUGCGACGGGAUACAUGUGAUGUCAUCGCUUGUGACGGGAUGCAUGUGAUGUCAUCGCUUGUGAUGGGAUACAUGUGAUGUCAUCGCUUGUGAUGGGAUACAUGUGAUGUCAUCGCUUGUGACGGGAUGCAUGUGAUGUCAUCGCUUGUGGCGGGAUGCAUGUGAUGUCAUCGCUUGCGACGGGAUACAUGUGAUGUCAUCGCUUGUGGCGGGAUGUGAUGUCAUCACUUGUGACGGGAUGUGAUGUCAUCACUUGUGAUGGCAUGUGAGACGAUCACGUGCGAAGACCAGAGGGGGUGGGAUCAUGUAUUAAUAUAAAUUACAACGGAUCUCUAUUAUUGGUUGGGUUAUUCACAGUUAAUAAUCAUACAUAUUAUUAUUAUGUUAAUCUAAGAGUACGUACGUUGAACUUCUUUUGUACCGUACGUAGCCAACCGUGCUCAUCGGAGGAGUGUUAAUCGACAAACGCCACCACGGCGUUCGCGUAUCACUCCGCGUACCGUACCACUGCACUGCUCACGAAAAGUUAGUUCGUAAAGUAGUCCGCUCAGGAACCGCGUUAUAACGGUGGACACGCUCCGGGUUCUAACAACGCCCAUUCCAUGUUAUAACGGUGGACACGUUUCCCGUUUUAACGGUGAAACACGUUUCCCGUUAUAACGGUGGACACGUUUUCCGUUAUAACGGUGGACACGUUUCCCGUUAUAACAGUGGACACGUUUCCCGUUAUAACAGUGGACACGUUUCCCAUUAUAACAGUGAAACACGUUUCCCAUUAUAACAGUGAAACACGUUUCCCAUUAUAACAGUGGACACGUUUCCCGUUAUAACGGUGAAACACGUUUCCCAUUAUAACAGUGAAACACUUUUCCCGUUACAACAGUGAACACGUUUCCCGUUAUAACGGUGAAACACGUUUCCCUGAAACACGUUUCCCGUUAUAACGGUGGACGCGUUUAUAACGGCGCGCCUUCCACGUUAUCACGAAAAGCGUUCCCAAGUUGUCGAGCGGCGUCAGAGUGUUAUUCGAGCGGCGUUAGAGCGGCGUUAGUGCGGCGUUAGAGCGGCGUUAGUGCGGCGUUAGAGCGGCGUUAGUGAGUCGUUAGUGCGUCCUGUGAUCUUCAGAGAGCUCAGCGAGGACUCGCCCUGCGACGGUGACUCGAACGUAAACGGAGCGAUUUUGUUGUUGUUGUUGUAAAGAUCAAGAGGCGAGGUCAAAGCGAUGUGUCUGUCACACUUGAUAAGAACAUUCCAGCCAUUUAAAAAAAAAACAAUAUCGUACGCAAUUUUA